UCUCUGAUCGAACAUUCUCUAACUUGUCUAGACUGAUACGGCAUCCGUUCUGUGGGAAACAAUCAACUAUGUUAGAUUCUUACAAGAGCAAAUACAGCUACUGAGCCAUGCCUACAUGAAGAGCAAUACCUGCAAGGAACGCUGGGGAGGAUUUGACAGAAAAGACGUUGAUCUGAGAAGUAGAGGUCUUUGUUUAGUACCAAUUGCAUGUACCCCUCAAAUUUAUCGUGAGAGUAACAAUGGAUCUGACUAUUUGAUCCCAUC